rnacentral:lncRNA from 1 species
UUGGCAGGGCUAUCCAUAGAUGAUUUGUGUAUUGGAUUGUAUCUCCCUUAUGGUAGUUAUUUAUGGUAGUUACUGUCUGAUAUUAUUGUAUGCUAUUAUGGUUCUUAUGUUUAGAUAAUUAUUUACGCUAUUUCUGCUGGAGUUACUAAUACUUUUUUGUUUUUGUUUUUGUUUUUCCUUUCCUUCACUGAGCCGAGGGUCGAUUGGAAACAACCUCUCUGCCCUUUCGGGUAGGGGUAAGACCUGUCUACUUAUUACCCUCUUCAGGCCCCACUUUAUGGGACUAUACUGGGUAGUAGUAGUUGUUAAGUGAAAGAGGAAGUCUUGGACUAGUUUGAA